rnacentral:ncRNA from 1 species
AUCGAAUAAAGGCAAACCCAUCGAAAGGUGGGGACGCAAAGUCACCGGUCUAAGGGAUUUAUCCUAUGACAGCGGGAUUGCCGGA